rnacentral:tRNA from 1 species
UCCCUGGUAGCUCAGAUGGUAAAGCAUCUGCCUGCAGCGCAGGAGACCUGGGUUCGAUCCCUGGGUCGGGAA